rnacentral:rRNA from 1 species
UUUANUGNAAGGUAAGUNUAAGAGUGGUUAGUGGUUCAGUUACGUUGAAUUUAUCCUUGUAAGGGCAUUCUUUUAGUUGGUUUAUAAUAGUCUGUUUAAAAGAAAACAAGUUGUACCUUUUGUAUCAGGGUCAAUUACAAGUAUUAGUUAUUAUAUUGUUCUCGAAUCAAUAAUGGGUUAAAUAAUUUUAUUUUGUUGAAGGACAGUGUUUUAUUAUUUUAGUAGUGAUAUGUUUUCGUAUUUUGGGGUAGCUAGUUAUCUAAUUAAAUUAUAAUUAGUAGGGGUCUUGGAUUGGUAUAGUAGAAGAGUUAAUUUUUUUAUUAUUUUAGGUUUAGAGGAAAUAUAUUGUUAAUUAGGCUUAACAUUUGCUAUAUUUAUAUAUUGUUGUAAAUAAUCUUUACGUUGUUUUAUUUCUAAGCUAUAUUUUUUAGGUUGGUAAAGUAGACUGGGUAUUUUAUUUAAUAAUGAUUGAAUUAGUAUUAAAGUUAUAUUAAAGUAUUUAACUUGGGGUUUGUAUGAUAGUUUAACAAAAACAUUUCUUUUAGCGUUGUUAAUAGUAAGGCCUGCCCAGUGAUUUUAAACGGCUGCGGUAUUUUAACUGUACUAAGGUAGCAUAAUAAUUUGUUUUUUAAUUGAAAACUGGAAUGAACGGUUUUACAUAUGAUUUGUUUAAUUUUUUAGUUUUAGUAAUUUUUAUUUUGAAUAAAAAUAUUUGAAUGUGAUAAAGGGACGAUAAGACCCUAAAAGCUUUUUUAGGUUGUAAUUUAUUUAUUUUUAUUUUUUAUUCUAAGUUUAGUUGGGGUAACGUAAAUAUAUGUUUUAUUUGUUAACUAUACGUUAAUAUACGGGUUAUAGGUCUUUUACGUAAAGAAAGUCAGGAUUAGUUACUUUAGGGAUAACAGCGUGAUAAUUUUAGAGAGGCCUUAUUGAUAGAGUUGAUUACGACCUCGAUGUUGAAUUAAAAGGUCUAUUUGUUGUAGCAGGCAAGUAAGAGGGUU